rnacentral:rRNA from 1 species
AAAUUGAAGAGUUUGAUCAUGGCUCAGAUUGAACGCUGGCGGCAGGCCUAACACAUGCAAGUCGAACGGUAACAGGAAACAGCUUGCUGUUUCGCUGACGAGUGGCGGACGGGUGAGUAAUGUCUGGGAAACUGCCCGAUGGAGGGGGAUAACUACUGGAAACGGUAGCUAAUACCGCAUAACGUCGCAAGACCAAAGAGGGGGACCUUCGGGCCUCUUGCCAUCGGAUGUGCCC